rnacentral:miRNA from 1 species
GGAGACCAUACUGCACAGCCUUC